UACGAAGGGGGGCGAGCGUUGUUCGGAAUUACUGGGCGUAAAGGGCGCGCAGGCGGCUCUGAAAGUCAGAUGUGAAAGCCCCGGGCUUAACCUGGGAAUUGCAUUUGAUACUCUGGAGCUUGAGUACGGGAGAGGAGAGUGGAAUUCCCAGUGUAGAGGUGAAAUUCGUAGAUAUUGGGAAGAACACCGGUGGCGAAGGCGGCGACCUGGUCCGAUACUGACGCUGAGGCGCGAAAGCGUGGGGAGCAAACAGG
rnacentral:rRNA from 1 species